CUGCUUUAAAAAAAAAAAAAAAAGAAUCAUCUCUCAUGCCGAUGAUUGCCGCUAACCCGGAAGUAGCGCGACAGUCCGAAACAGCGAUAGCUCGCAUCAAUGGCUUCAGGAUCUCUGGGAGCUGGAGCCUAUCCCAGGUGACUUUGGGCGAAAGACGGACUACACCCUGAAGUGGUCGUCAAUAGGUCGCAGAGCACAUUGAGACAUGGACAACCAUUCACAUUGUCACUGAUGCGCAGGAGACAGGAGUUGUGGGAAGACAACUUGUGGACGAUGACAAUGACGAUGUGCCUGCACACAAUGCCCUGAAUAUCCAUCAGAUGGUGGCCAAGAAGAACAAGCUGGAGCAAUCUCGCCAAUGAAAGCCUAGCUGCUCACUGCUUUGCCACAUUAGUAAAUGAGGGGGGAGAACAUAUAGACUAGGGGAAAAAAAGGAACGUCAAGUCUGCUUCUUGAAAUCUUGACAGUGGACCUUUCUGACCGGCGAACUUCAGCUCCGCCCCCCUUAGCUACAGUUGCAAUGCCGCACAAUCUUCCAAAAUGGCGACUGAAAAUAAUAGGUUUGAACCGGGUCCUAUAUCGCGUAUUCCAUAUAAUAUUGGGGUAUGUUUUUUGCCAAAUGCGUCAGACUUCUCCAAAAUAGUUCUACAGAGAGGUGUCAACUAUUCCACACAAGGAUAUGUACACGGGAUUAAGAAUUUGGAUGGAGGAGGACGCAAU